CCUACGGGAGGCAGCAGUGGGGAAUAUUGCACAAUGGGGGAAACCCUGAUGCAGCGACGCCGCGUGAGUGAAGAAGUAAUUCGUUAUGUAAAGCUCUAUCAGCAGGGAAGAAAAUGACGGUACCUGAGUAAGAAGCCCCGGCUAACUACGUGCCAGCAGCCGCGGUAAUACGUAGGGGGCAAGCGUUAUCCGGAUUUACUGGGGGUAAAGGGAGCGUAGACGGCAGUGCAAGUCUGGAGUGAAAGGCGGGGGCUCAACCCCCGGACUGCUCUGGAAACUGUACGGCUGGAGUGCAGGAGAGGUAAGUGGAAUUCCUGGUGUAGCGGUGAAAUGCGUAGAUAUUAGGAGGAACACCAGUGGCGAAGGCGGCUUACUGGACUGUAACUGACGUUGAGGCACGAAAGCGUGGGGAGCGAACAGGAUUAGAUACCCCUGUAGUC
rnacentral:rRNA from 1 species